AACAAGGCGUACCUGCGGACCUGCGGAAGGAUCAUUACCGAGUUUACAACUCCCAAACCCCUGUGAACAUACCUAUAUGUUGCCUCGGCGGAUCAGCCCGCGCCCCGUAAAACGGGACGGCCCGCCGCAGGAUCCACAAACUCUGUUUUUAUUGUAACUUCUGAGUAACAAAACAAAUAAAUCAAAACUUUCAACAAUGGAUCU
rnacentral:misc_RNA from 1 species